rnacentral:rRNA from 1 species
CCCUUAGAUGUCCUGGGUCGCACGCGCGCUACACUGACAUGUUCAACAAGCCUCCUAGUUCGACAGGAUUUGGGAAAUCUUUGAACGCAUGUCGUGAUAGGGAUAGAUCAUUGCAAUUAUUGAUCUUGAACGAGGAAUUCCUAGUAAACGCGAGUCAUCAGCUCGCAUUGAUUACGUCCCUGCCCUUUGUACACACCGCCCGUCGCACCUACCGAUUGAAUGUUUCGGUGAAGAUUCCGGAUAGGACUUUUUUGAUUUAUUUCAAUUCUGUCUUAAAAGCUAUCUAAACCUCAACAUUUAGAGGAAGGUGAAGUCGUAACA